CCGUGCCGCAGCAGUGACCCAGGCCCCUGCAGUGACAACACUGGAUUCUUACGCUGCUGCGCCACAAGAGAACUCCUUUAUGCUCCCUUUUCUUGUUAAAAAGGACAGUAAUAGGUAAGACGCAGAUUUGCCAUGAGGAGGACAUGAAUACUGCACAGGAAAACACUUUGCGGGAAUGUUACUUAUUCAAUUUAUUGAGAACCUUAGCUUUUUGUGUCUGUUUUAUUCCACAACCCGCCUGAAAGUUCUUUUGUGUUCUCGGGUUUUUAUUUAGGAGUAGCUGACACUGUCCCACCAAACUGCAGGAGAAGCCUGCGUGUGUGUUUGUGUCUCUCUGUGGCUCUGAUCUUCCCCACAGGCCGUCCGGUCCAGAGCCCCCCUGAUGUCAGCCGCAGGGCGCAGGAGCCAGGAGCCGAGGAGGUCCUGCGCCUUGACCACACGAGCGUGGCCCUUCCUCCAGACCCCCGCUCCGGACGCGCCCACCUAGCGUCUCCCAGGAACCAUGCGGCAGCUCAAGGGGAAGCCCAAGAAGGAGACGUCCAAGGACAAGAAGGAGCGGAAGCAGGCCAUGCAGGAGGCCCGGCAGCAGAUCACCACCGUGGUGCUGCCCACGCUGGCCGUGGUCGUGGUCCUGAUCGUGGUGUUUGUGUACGUGGCCACGCGCCCCACCAUCACCGAGUGAGGGCCCGCCCCGAGGGAGGAGGCUCGGGAGGGGAGAGCAGAAGAAGGGCCUUCAUCCGCUGCGAUUUUCCUGAUGCCGAGCUCUGAGCAGGAGCCCCCGUCUGCUCUGGUCUGUGACUUGAUUAAAGGUUCUCCACUUUUCUUGGGAGGGAAUAGGAAACGUUUUAUCAGUGAACGUGCCAUACACUUUAUGGUCCACUUCAUGUGCCUUUCAGACUUCAAAGCCGUGUGUGUGUGUGUGUGUGUGUGUGUGUGUGUGUGUGUGUGUGUGUUUCUCGCCUGCAAUCGAUGUGUAGCCCCACCUGGUGAGAGGAGGCGUCUCUGGGUCACGGAUCAGUUGGAAUCAGUGCUCACCCCAUCCCCGUUGUUUUGAACAUGACUUUCCUACACGUGUUCACAAUUUCCAAAGGGACUGUGUUUCUUCUCUGUGCUUCAUGUGAUUUGAAAUAUGUCGACUCAAAAGUGAAAUAUUUAUUUUUUGAAUAAAGGAGAUGAUAGCC
rnacentral:lncRNA from 1 species